AGGUGACCACGCGGACCUCACAGUCAGAGAAGAGGAAAGAAAGGAGAAACACUAGACCAGAGACCCCUCUGCAAGCCGUGCCCAGCAGCCUGCUCUGUUUUGUCCUGGACCUUCAGCGGUGCCUAAAACCAGGACACUAAGGAAGAUGGAUUACUGAGAAUAUGAUUUUGAGAAUAGGGGCUGACAACAUUGUUAUCAAAUAGGCUCUAUAAUCUUUCUUACAGGUAGCACUAA